AGAUGUGAAGGUGAUCUGGCUGGCUAGGAGGGUGUUCCCUUCCUUCCUCACCACUCCCAUGUGUGUCACACCCUGUAGAAGACAAUGGCCUUCCCCGGAUAGAGACAGAUGGGUCUUUGACUUUGGUGGAGGGUAUUCGAGUAGCUGUGCUCCCCUACUAGAGCCUCCAAACAAGAUCUCAACAAAAUGUUUCUCUCUUCUUACUCUGCAUCCACCUCAAUUAAAAGUGAUAAAU
rnacentral:snRNA from 1 species